UUAACUUCUUUGUGACCAAUAUGACUUGCUCAUUGAUACAUUUGCUAUGUCAAUAUGAGGUGCAUGGCGAAUUAUUUAAUUUAUUUGUCUCGCUUCUAGGAGCUGUAGAAACAACAGGGUGUUCUUUUUCAGGGUAUUCUUUUUUUAUAGAACUGGACAGGUCAUUUAUUCGUUCCCCUUGUUUUUUGAAGUGUCCUGCAGGAUGCUGUGUCCUGCAAUCCUGUGUGCUGUGCUACAGACGUGUGUGGAGGUCAACCCAAAAUGGGCACAGUCUCACCACAGAAGAGUGAAAGAGGAUCCUGGCAGGGAGACGGUAGUGUCCUGCAGAAUGGUGAUGGGCCAAUCUUACAAGAGACCACAGAAAACUGAUAUAGUGAACUAUAGAAACAACAGAGUGCCUGCUGCAGUAUGACGAGGACACCCCGAGUAGAGAGCUCCAAU